rnacentral:lncRNA from 1 species
UAAGGAACCCACUCCUGUGAUAACAGACCCACUCUCACGAGACUAGUAUUAAUCCAUUCAUGAGGGUGGUGCCCCCAUAAUCCAUUGACCUCCCAUUAGGCCCUACCUCCCAGAACCACCUCACUGGGGAUCAAGCUGCCAACACAUGAACUUUAGGGGACACAUUCUGAUAUGGUUUGGGUCUGUGGCCCUGCCCAAAUCUCAUGUCAAAUUGUAAUCCUCAAUGUUGGAGGUGGGACCUGAUUGGAGGCGAUUGGAUCAUGGGGGCAGAUUUCCCCCUUUGGUGCUAUUCUUGUGAUAAGAGUUCUCAUGAGAUCUGGUUGUUUUAGUGUGUGGCACCUUUCCCCCUCUCCUGCUCUGGCCAUGUAAGAUGAGCCUGUUUCCCCUUUGCCUUCCCCCAUGAUUGUAAGCUCCCUGAGGCCUCCCCAGCCACGCCUCCUGUAAAGCUUGUGGAACCGUGAGCCAAUUAAACCUCUUUUCCUUAUAACUUACUUAGUUUCCGGUUAUUUAUAGCACGUGAAAACGGGCUAAUACACCUUCAAACCACACCAGAUCAUAUACUGUAUGAUGACUGUAUGAUUCCAUUUAUAUGAAAUGUCCAGAACAGGCAAAUCUACAAACAUAGACAGUGUAUUCAUGGUUGCCUAGUGCUGGGGAGAAUAGAGGAGUUAGGAGUUACCUUAGUCUGUUCCAGCUGCCAUAACAAAUGCACCACAGACUGAGUAGCUUAUAAACAACAAUAAAUGAUUUCUUACAGUUCUGGAGGCUGGGAAGUCCAAGGCACCAGCAUAAUGAAAUGUGAGUGAGAACCCACUUUCUAGCUCACAGAUGACUGUCUUUUCAUUGUUUCCUCACAAGGGAGAAGGGGUGAGUGAUCUGUUUAGGGCCACUUUCAUAGGAGCACUGAGCUCAUUCAUGAGGGCUAUGCCCUCUUGACCUAAUCACUUCCCAAAGGCCCCAUCUCCUAAUACCAUCACCUUAGGGGUUAGGAUUGCAACUUAUGAAUUUUGAGGGUACACAAACAUACAGACCAUAGCAGAGGUUAUAGCUAAAAGUUUUAUUUUAGAGGUGAUAAUGUUCUAAGAUUUAUUGUGGUGAUGGUCAUGCAACUCUGUGAAUACACAAAGAACACUGAAUUGCACAUUUUAAAUGGAUGAAUUUUAUGGUAUAUAAAUUAUAUCUCAAUAAAUCUGUGGUGGAGCAGAGUGGCUCAUGCUUGUAUUUCCAGCACUUUGGGAGGCCAAGGUGGGCAGAUUGCUUGAGCUCAUGAUUUCAAGACCAGCCUGGCCAACAUGGUGAAACCCCAUUUCUACAAAAGAUGCAAAAAAUUUAGCUGGGUGUGGUGGUGCAUGCCUGUAAUCCCAGCUACUCGAGAGACUGAUGUGGAAGGACUGCUUGAGCCCAGGAGGUUGAGGUUGCAAAGAGCCAAAAUCGCACCACCACUGUACUCCAGCCUGGGUGAGAGAGUGAGACCUUGUUUCAAACCUCCUCCCCCACAAAAAAACCCCAAUAUUAUCUGUUAUAAAGUAUUCUUAUGUUUAAAAAGUAAAACUUGACAUAAUAUAUAGACAAAUAUAUGACAGUGGAAACAUAUAAAUUAGAAAAAGAAUAAAUUUGAAGGGCUUACAUUACCUGAUUUUGAGAUUUACUACAAAGCUACAGUAAUCAAGACAAUGUGUGGCUUUGGCAAAGGGAUGGACACACAGAUCAAUGGAAUAGAACAGAAAACUGAGAAACAGACCCGCUUAACUAUGAUCAAUCAAUUGUUGACAAAAGGGCAAAGGCAAUUCAAUGGAACACUAUGUUUUCCACAAAUGAUGCUGAAACAUCUGGAUAACCACAUGUAAAAACAAUGAGCCUGGGCCUUUAUUUAACACCUUAUAUAGAAAUUACCUAAAAUGGAUGUAAGUGAAAAACAUUAUCAUUAAGCUAGUAGAAGAA